rnacentral:rRNA from 1 species
UACGGAGGGUGCAAGCGUUAUCCGGAUUUACUGGGUUUAAAGGGUGUGUAGGCGGCUUUUUAAGUCAGAGGUGAAAUCUCCAGGCUCAACCUGGAAACUGCCCCUGAUACUAUUAGUCUUGAAUAUUGAUGAGGUGGGCGGAACGGGUCAUGUAGCGGUGAAAUGCUUAGAGAUGACCCGGAACACCAAUUGCGAAGGCAGCUGUCUAAACAUGGAUUGACACUGAUGCACGAAAGCGUGGGGAUCAAACAGG